UACGGAGGGUGCAAGCGUUGUCCGGAUUUAUUGGGUUUAAAGGGUGCGUAGGCGGCUGAAUAAGUCAGCGGUGAAAGACGGUCGCUUAACGAUCGAACUGCCGUUGAUACUGUUUAGCUUGAGUUUGAUUGAGGUAGCCGGAAUGGAUAGUGUAGCGGUGAAAUGCAUAGAUAUUAUCCAGAACGCCAAUUGCGUAGGCAGGUUACUAAGUCACUACUGACGCUGAGGCACGAGAGUGCGGGGAUCAAACAGG
rnacentral:rRNA from 1 species